rnacentral:rRNA from 1 species
GACGAACGCUGGCGGCGUGCUUAACACAUGCAAGUCGAACGGAAAGGCCCUGCUUUUGUGGGGUGCUCGAGUGGCGAACGGGUGAGUAACACGUGAGUAACCUGCCCUUGACUUUGGGAUAACUUCAGGAAACUGGGGCUAAUACCGGAUAGGAGCUCCUGCUGCAUGGUGGGGGUUGGAAAGUUUCGGCGGUUGGGGAUGGACUCGCGGCUUAUCAGCUUGUUGGUGGGGUAGUGGCUUACCAAGGCUUUGACGGGUAGCCGGCCUGAGAGGGUGACCGGCAACAUUGGGACUGAGAUACGGCCCAGACUCCUACGGGAGGCAGCAGUGGGGAAUAUUGCACAAGGGGCGGAAGCCUGAUGCAGCAACGCCGCGUGCGGGAUGACGGCCUUCGGGUUGUAAACCGCUUUCGCCGGUGACGAAGCGUGAGUGAUGGUAAUGGGUAAAGAAGCACCGGCUAACUACGU